CGGGGUCUAAUACCGGAUACUGACCCGCUUGGGCAUCCAAGCGGUUCGAAAGCUCCGGCGGUGCAGGAUGAGCCCGCGGCCUAUCAGCUUGUUGGUGAGGUAAUGGCUCACGAAGGCGACGACGGGUAGCCGGCCUGAGAGGGCGACCGGCCACACUGGGACUGAGACACGGCCCAGACUCCUACGGGAGGCAGCAGUGGGGAAUAUUGCACAAUGGGCGAAAGCCUGAUGCAGCGACGCCGCGUGAGGGAUGACGGCCUUCGGGUUGUAAACCUCUUUCAGCAGGGAAGAAGCGAAAGUGACGGUACCUGCAGAAGUUGCGCCGGCUAACUACGUGCCAGCAGCCGCGGUAAUACGUAGGGCGCGAGCGUUGUCCGGAAUUAUUGGGCGUAAAGAGCUCGUAGGCGGCUUGUCACGUCGGUUGUGAAAGCCCGGCCCUUAACCCCGGGUCUGCAGUCGAUACGGGCAGGCUAGAGUUCGGUAGGGGAGAUCGGAAUUCCUGGUGUAGCGGUGAAAUGCGCAGAUAUCAGGAGGAACACCGGUGGCGAAGGCGGAUCUCUGGGCCGAUACUGACGCUGAGGAGCGAAAGCGUGGGGAGCGAACAGGAUUAGAUACCCUGGUAGUCCACGCCGUAAACGGUGGGCACUAGGUGUGGGCGACAUUCCACGUCGUCCGUGCCGCAGCUAACGCAUUAAGUGCC
rnacentral:rRNA from 1 species